rnacentral:rRNA from 1 species
AGUGAACGCUGGCGGCGUGCCUAAUACAUGCAAGUCGAACGGAGUGGCGCCCGGGUGAGUAAUUUAUAGCUAAUCUUCCCUACACUAGAGUACAACAGUUGGAAACGACUGCUAAUACUCUAUAGUGUAGGAUGAGGCUAUAUUGUAUCAGCUAGUUGGUUAGGUAAUGGCUAACCAAGGCUAUGACGCAUAACUGGUCUGAGAUGAGGAUCAGUCACACUGGAACUGAGACACGGUCCAGACUCCUACGGGAGGCAGCAGUAGGGAAGAUUGCUCAAUGGGGGAAACCCUGAAGCAGCAACGCCGCGUGGAGGAGGACACUUUUCGGAGCGUAAACUCCUGUUGUUAGGGAAGCGGUACCUAACGAAUAAGCACCGGCUAACUCCGUGCCAGCAGCCGCGGUAAUUC